UACGUAGGGGGCAAGCGUUGUCCGGAAUUAUUGGGCGUAAAGAGCUCGUAGGCGGUCUGUCGCGUCUGGUGUGAAAAUCCAGGGCUUAACCCUGGACCUGCAUCGGGUACGGGCAGACUAGAGUGCGGUAGGGGAGAUCGGAAUUCCUGGUGUAGCGGUGAAAUGCGCAGAUAAUCAGGAGGAACACCGGUGGCGAAGGCGGGUCUCUGGGCCGAUG
rnacentral:rRNA from 1 species